rnacentral:lncRNA from 1 species
UUUUAAAUUAAUACACCAUAAAAUAUAGAAAAAGCUUCAAAUACCACCCAUGUGAUUUCACACUUUCUCACGUUAGUACCCUAUAGUUUAAAGUGUAUCAAUUUAGUGCCCAAUGUCUGUGGUUUUAUUUUUCUCUUUUUAUUAUCAAUUCCACUAUUUUUUUUUUAUUAAAUCAGUGACAAAGUUAAAACGAAAGGGUAUUAAAUUGAAUAUUCAAUAAAGUUAAGUGGGUAUCUGAAAUUUUUUAUAUAUAAUUUAACGAAAUAUUAACGAAAAAGCUGGCGAAAAGAGAAAAAUAAAAUCACAGGACACUAAAUUGAUACAUUUUAAACCACGUGGUACUAAAGUAAGAAAGUGCGAAAUUAUAAGAGUGGUAUUUGAAGUUUACCCAAAAAUAUAAUUGCUAGCCC